rnacentral:tRNA from 1 species
AAAACUAUAAUUUAUACAGAAUAACUAGUUUGCGUCUAGAAAGAGCUUGAGCUUGUUUUU